GUGCCAGCCGCCGCGGUAAGACGGAGGGUGCUAGCGUUGUUCGGAAUUACUGGGCGUAAAGGGCGCGUAGGCGGCCUGGUCAGUCGGAUGUGAAAGCCCGGGGCUCAACCCCGGAACGGCAUCCGAGACGGCCAGGCUGGAGACCGGGAGAGGAGAGUGGAAUAGCCAGUGUAGAGGUGAAAUUCGUAGAUAUUGGCUGGAACACCGGUGGCGAAAGCGGCUCUCUGGCCCGGUUCUGACGCUGAGGCGCGAAAGCGUGGGGAGCAAACAGGAUUAGAUACCCGAGUAGUCC
rnacentral:rRNA from 1 species